CGGCAACAGCUCAAAUUUGAAAUCUGCCCGCAAGGGCCGAGUUGUAAUUUGUAGAGGAUGCUUUUGGUGCGGCGCCUUCCGAGUUCCCUGGAACGGGACGCCAUAGAGGGUGAGAGCCCCGUCUGGUUGGACGCCAAUCCUCUGUAAAGCUCCUUCGAC
rnacentral:rRNA from 1 species